AUUUAAUAUUAAUGGAGAGAUGAAAAAGUCGGAUGGCUAUUGUUUUUUGUCGGACGGUUUGGGUGGAGAUAGACGACCGAGCGCUUAAUUUCUUCCUGGUCCAGGCGGACAAUGGGUAGUGUCGACCACACCCGGCCGAUCAAGGCCUCGACCGUCCAUUGGACGGCCCGACCCGAAAUUCUGGUGGCGUGCCAGGCCGAGAUGAUUCGGAAGGCCAUCUUCGGUGGAUCCUCCUUUCUCCGUGCCUAUAAAAGAGAAGGCGAUCCAGCCACGGUCAAACUGGUUCCAUCGUCGACCGAUCACCACCCGCUUAGUCCACCAUGCAAGCUCUGAUCAUCUUCUUGUUGUUGGCUCUGUUGGCCGUCACCAUGGCCCUGCCCUACUACGGCCUCUACGGCAGCUACUACGGCGCCUAUCCUUACGCCUCCUACUACGGCGGCUACUACAAUCCCUAUUACGCCGGUUACCUGUGGAAGUAAAUGCCGGCCCUGUCGUUUCCCGAACGGUGAAAGACGAAUUUGGAUGCUACGGUUAACUUCUCUUCUUCCGCCCAUAACAUUCCGAUUUUCCUGCAAAUUUCUCUAUAGUUUUCAAUAAAGAUUUCUUUCUUAAUUUAACUGGCUGCCUUUCUUUCCCGUACAUUUUUGGUUUUUGAACGGCUUUCUAUCGCGGCCGUCCAAAUAACCAAUCAAAUAAACCAUUAUCGGUUCCGUCUAUUGGUCUAGACCUCGGUUGUCUCCUAGCUUUCGGGCUGUCCAAGUCGUAUUACGUAUCUAUAUGCAGUGGUACCUCGACUUACGAGUUUUUCGAGAUACGAACCGUCUCUCUCGCUUCGAGUGGCCAGCUAAAAUUCGGGUUACGAGCGGUAACUAGCCACCAAGUAACUGCCGCCCGGAGCGUAACAUCCGCUCCGAUCGACCUACUUCGCCCCUGUAACAGAUCUUUGUUAACUGCUUAAUACGGCCAUUUAAAAUAAAAUAAAAAU
rnacentral:lncRNA from 1 species